rnacentral:rRNA from 1 species
AUUGAACGCUGGCGGCAGGCCUAACACAUGCAAGUCGAGCGGGACGGCGGACGGGCGAGUACUUCCUGGGUAUCAACCUGGUCGUGGGGGAUAACGUCCGGAAAAGGGCGCUAAUACCUCAUACUUUCAGAUGAGCCUCGGUCGGAUUAGCUAGUUGGUGGGUUAAGGGCCUACCAAGGCGACGAUCCGUACCUGGUCUGAGAGGAUGAUCAGUCACACUGGAACUGAGACACGGUCCAGACUCCUACGGGAGGCAGCAGUGGGGAAUAUUGGACAAUGGGCGAAAGCCUGAUGCAGCCAUGCCGCGUGUGUGAAGAAGGUCUUCGGGUUGUAAAGCACUUUAAGCUGGGAGGCGUUACCAGCAGAAGAAGCACCGGCUAACUUCGUGCCAGCAGCCGCGGUAAUAC